AAAAGUUCUAUACUUCUUCAUCUGGAAUGUUUUCUUUUGUAACAUUGUCUCUGGAUCUGUUAUUGACAGAUUCUUUAAAAUUUUUAAGGAUGUGAACAAUCUACUUUCAACGGCUGUGCCAUCAACGGCGACCUUCUUUAUGACUUAUGUUUUGACUUCUGGCUGGGCAAGUCUGUCUGUUGAACUCUUACAACCAUUCGGUCUCAUCUGCAGAUUGUUCUCCAGGUUUAUUAUGAGAAACGCCGAUGCUUCAUGUUAUGGAACACUGACUUUUCCAUACCAUACAGAAGUUCCGAGGAUCCUCCUAUUUGGCCUCUUUGGCUUUGCAUACGCCAUUUUGG
rnacentral:misc_RNA from 1 species